rnacentral:rRNA from 1 species
GCGUAGGCCGGAGAUUAAGCGUGUUGUGAAAUGUAGAUGCUCAACAUCUGAACUGCAGCGCGAACUGGUUUCCUUGAGUACACACAAAGUGGGCGGAAUUCGUGGUGUAGCGGUGAAAUGCUUAGAUAUCACGAAGAACUCCGAUUGCGAAGGCAGCUCACUGGAGCGCAACUGACGCUGAAGCUCGAAAGUGCGGGUAUCGAACAGGAUUAGAUACCCUGGUAGUCCGCACGGUAAACGAUGGAUGCCCGCUGUUGGUCUGAAUAGGUCAGCGGCCAAGCGAAAGCAUUAAGCAUCCCACCUGGGGAGUACGCCGGCAACGGUGAAACUCAAAGGAAUUGACGGGGGCCCGCACAAGCGGAGGAACAUGUGGUUUAAUUCGAUGAUACGCGAGGAACCUUACCCGGGCUUGAAUUGCAGAGGAAGGAUUUGGAGACAAUGACGCCCUUCGGGGCCUCUGUGAAGGUGCUGCAUGGUUGUCGUCAGCUCGUGCCGUGAGGUGUCGGCUUAAGUGCCAUAACGAGCGCAACCCCUCUCCUUAGUUGCCAUCAGGUUAAGCUGGGCACUCUGGGGACACUGCCACCGUAAGGUGUGAGGAAGGUGGGGAUGACGUCAAAUCAGCACGGCCCUUACGUCCGGGGCUACACACGUGUUACAAUGGCAGGUACAGAGAGACGGUCCCUUGCAAAAUGGAUCAAAUCCUUAAAGCCUGUCUCAGUUCGGACUGGGGUCUGCAACCCGACCCCACGAAGCUGGAUUCGCUAGUAAUCGCGCAUCAGCCAUGGCGCGGUGAAUACGUUCCCGGGCCUUGUACACACCGCCCGUCAAGCCAUGAAAGCCGGGGGCGCCUAAAGUCCGUGACCGUAAGGAGCGG